rnacentral:rRNA from 1 species
AAUGAACGUUGGCGGCGUGGAUUAGGCAUGCAAGUCGUACGCAUAGCUUCGGCUAUGAGUGGCGCAAGGGUGAGUAAUGCGAAGGUAACCAACCCUGGUGUUGGGCAUAGCCGCGGGAAACUGCGGGUAAUUCCCAGCGACGUCACGAGAUGGCAUCAUCUUGUGACCAAAGGUGUGAUUCCGCUCUAGGACGGGCCUUCGUGGUAUUAGGUAGUUGGUGAGGUAACGGCUCACCAAGCCGACGAUGCCUACCGGGUGUGAGAGCAUGACCCGGCACACUGGAACUGAGACACUGUCCAGACACCUACGGGUGGCUGCAGUCGAGAAUCUUCGGCAAUGGGCGAAAGCCUGACCGAGCGACGCCGCGUUGAGGGAUUGAAGGCCUUCGGGUUGUAAACCUCUUCGUAGA